rnacentral:rRNA from 1 species
AGAGUUUGAUCAUGGCUCAGAAUUAACGCUGGCGGAGUGCAUAACACAUGCAAGUCGAACGGGAUUACAGGAGCCCGUAAGGGUUUCUGUAAUUUAGUGGCAAACGGGUGAGUAAUACGUAGGUAACCUGCCUGAAGAAUCGGGAUAGCUUUACGAAAGUGGAGAUAAUACCGGAUGAGACCACGAUUUAAUUAAUUGAGGUUAAAGAUAGUAAUAUCGUCAUCAGAGGGGCCUGCGUCCUAUCAGCUUGUUGGUGAGGUAACGGCCCACCAAGGCGAUGACGGGUAGCCGACCUGAAAGGGCGAUCGGCCACACUGGAACUGAGACACGGUCCAGACUCCUACGGGAGGCAGCAGUGAGGAAUUUUGCACAAUGGGGGAAACCCUGAUGCAGCAACUCCGCGUGAAGGAUGAAGGUUUUCGGAUUGUAAACUUCUUUUGGAGGGGAAAAUGUCCUGAUGU